AAAAGGAUUUUCUAAAGAAAGAAAGGUGAAACCCAAACGCCUAAACCCGUAUACCCGAACGUAUAAACGGGUUUACAUACCUAAUCCCUAAUCUCAUUAAUCAGUUGCAGAUGAAACCUUCGUCAUUUUCCUAGGGUUUUCACUCUUCCACGCUCGGAAAUUCACAGAGGGAAUCCACGGGAUAAACGUGUCGUUAACCACACGCUGUCAACGAGGCAACCCGAGCCCGCGAGAUCCUGCAGGAGCUCCACUAGUAUUCCUCGGAGCUGUUGGCUCGAGCACGACCGCGUUCGUCGAAACCGUCGGAGAUGGAUCUGGCCGAAAUGGAUCCGCCGGAGAACCCGGUCGUGGUUUUGGGUUGGAAUUUGACAACUUUCGAAUGACUGAUGAAGGCUUUUGGAUUCCUAACUCCAGACGAACACUUGAUUUUCAAAAACACGAUAAAUGAACCGAGUUGUUAGGAUGUUCGUAUAGGGGAAUGUUGGCCGCUUGCUUUAGAAGUUGUUCAGAACGCAGCUGUAUCAUGCAUUCUUCCGAAGACCAAGUCAACGGUGUACAAUUGAUGAAACCAUGACACUCAGUUUGUGUCGGCAUUUUCCAAGGGCAAGCAGUUGGAAGUGAUAGGUCAAAGGCUCAAAGCAGAGCUGAAGCGAGGAGAAGAGCCGCAAAACAAUGCAAAAGCUAGGAAUGAAGCCCAUCCUCGGAGUCAGCCGAGUCACUGUCAACACUUCAAAUAUUUCUUGCAUGAUUCGUAGAAGGUUUGCUUGCAUGAACGCUGUUGCCGGAGUUUGCCAUGGAGACUUGAAGCCUCAAAAUGUCUAGGUCGACCCGGUGAACUCGUCAGGUGAAAAUAUGCGAUUACGGAAGUGCAGAAGUACAAUAGUGAGAGUUGAAGGAAAUAUAUCUUACGUUUGCUUGCGAUUUGAGCUUCUUUUGGGCCAACCACUAUCUACUGGGGAGAAUGCUAUGGAUCAAAACCAAGGAUUCAACCAUCACUAACGAAAGUAAUGAAAAGGUAUGCUUCCUAAGUGUCCAUUAUUUUGAGAAUGUACUAGAUCUCUUGACAAAAUGUGUGGAAAACUUGGUUAUUUAUUUUCAAAAUUUAAUUAAAUGGGGCCGUCGACUCCCCUUAUUUUAUUAUUUGCGCCUCUAAGCCAAGGAUUCCUCCAUUCUGUUCAAGUUGAACCGAGCCUCUAGUACAAUCUUUUUAAUGGCACCCCUUUUCCUAGUUAAUAUGUGUGUGGUUCUUACUUUAAUUUAUUUAUUUUAUCAAAUAUGCUUUUUAGUAGCAUUAUAACGUAGUUCGAAAAUUGAAGUUUAACAUGAUUGGUUAGUCUAAAUGCUUAUCUCCGUUUGUGAUUUAUGUGGUGUUUGAUCAUGAGCUCUAGAAUUCGUAUGUUGGUAUGUUUUUUUGUUUUGUUUUUCUUCUAUUGAUUCUUAAUGUAAGCCAAGUCAGCUAAAUAAAAGCCCAUAUGUGUAAAUGGGAAUUUUGUAAUAAGGUAGGCUAUGUAGAAUAUACCACUAGAUCUAACCUUUGGCUCAAGGUUGGAUCACAUACGAUUGGGCUCUUGAUCAUUCACAAAUUUUUGCAUCGCAUGCUAUGUUUUGUUUACUUUAUAAUUAAUUAAUGUUUGAAUGCGGAAGUUAAAUUU